CCGCACCUGAUAACGAUCGUAUAUAUAUAUAUACACACACAGACACCCCCGAAACCGUACCCAAGCUGUGAAUUACUUUUUAUCAAAUUACUAUGGCAUAAUAUCCUUCUAAUUACAUAAUUUACAAAAAAAAAGAAUUAUAAAAUAUUGGCAGCGUAUUUACAAAUCGAUGCUUUUAUUAAGUAAUCUACAAAAUCUCACAAUAUGUUUGAGAUCGAGUUGAAAACUAUGUUAGAAAUAGAUAGAUUAUGUGACACCAACGUUUCGAUAAAUUUAACACAAGACAAUUUUAAAAUAGAGGGGCUUAAGAUCUGUAAUUUCAAAUUUAGUGCUACUUUCCAACUUAUAAUAAUUAGAUGGGUGUUAGCUUUUAAUGUUGUCUCUAUCUGUAUACAAAUUGGUUCAUCAUCAUGUCCAUAUCUAUGUGUGAAUAUGAGCUGUGAAAUGCAAACGCGUCUUUGCAUUGCUACUCUUCUAGCUAAUUAACCAGUUGUGAUCAAGUGCUAUAAAUGCCAAUGCUGAUCCCUAACAUUUGCUUUCUUGGGUUACAUUGCUAGUUUGAGUAUCAUACAGCUUUUCGAGCAAUUUCGAUACAGUGACAACAUUACAAUGUUGUUAAACGAUCACAAUUAUUUGAUAUUUUUUUUUUUUUU
rnacentral:lncRNA from 1 species